rnacentral:rRNA from 1 species
UACGGAGGGUGCAAGCGUUUAAUCGGAAUUACUGGGCGUAAAGAGCGCGCAGGCGGUCGAUCAAGUCGCGUGUGAAAGCCCCCGGCUCAACUGGGGAGGGUCACGCGAUACUGAUCGACUCGAAGGCAGGAGAGGGUAGUGGAAUUCCAGGUGUAGCGGUGAAAUGCGUAGAGUAUCUGGAGGAACACCAGUGGCGAAGGCGGCAUCCUGGACCGAGAUUGACGCUGAGGCGCGAAGCUAGGGGAGCAAACGGG